rnacentral:rRNA from 1 species
UACGGAGGGUGCGAGCGUUGUCCGGAAUCACUGGGCGUAAAGGGCGCGUAGGUGGCUUCUCAAGCGCCGCGGUGCAAAGCCCGGGGCUCAACCCCGGGUCGGCCGUGCGGACUGGGAGCUCGAGCACUGUAGGGGCGGGUGGAAUUCCGGGUGUAGCGGUGGAAUGCGUAGAUAUCCGGAGGAACACCGGUGGCGAAGGCGGCUCCUGGACCGACACUGACGCUGAGGCGCGAAAGCUAGGGGAGCAACGGG